rnacentral:lncRNA from 1 species
UCGCCAUUUCGUACGUAUUUUUGUUAGUCGUCUCCCGGCAAGUUGGUUCUUUAUUUUAUGCUCCGGCCUCUGCACGUGCGUUUGUUUGCUCGGACAGCUGGAGCGUAAGAUGUCUCACGUCCUUGUAAAGUGAGUUGACGAUAACAAGUGGGACGUGUAUCCCGUGAAUGCUUUGGCCGACGCGGAUGUGGCCUUCCGUCUCGUAUCGCAGCAGGGGUCAAUUAAAGAAGUAUUCAACUCAUCAGUUGGAAAGAAGGAGCGCCACCGGACCCGGCAGUACUCCUUGCCUUCGAUCAACCCAUGCAGCACCUGUACUGUUCAGGUAAAGGCACUUCAAGAAGAAAAUCAGGAAUUAAAAGAUGAAGUGGAACAUAUGAAGCGGAUGGCAGAAAAACACGAUUACAUUUCUGGUGGACAUUGGGGCCGGUGUGAGUGUUGAACAAGGCACCCUAGAGAAGCUAUGCUGAGCUUGCGAAAGUGGCCUUGGCAAAUUUGCCAGGGCUCUUUUGUGGAAUGUAUUCACCCCAGAGGAGCUACGGGACAAACCGCUCCUGGGUGGGAAGAGCAACUUGCACUUAAACCAGCCAUUCAAGGAGGCCUUGGACCCUAUUCGUAUCCGAGCUGUGAUUGACUACACAUGCUCCAAGUUUCCCUCUGCCAGCCUCUCCUGCAUAAAGAACAUCAUCUCCUCAAUGCUGGCAAGAGAAAUGAAGGAGCCUGAAGCUCAAUAAAUUUCUGGGCCAUUGUAUAAAAGGAAUGAUUCACAUGCUUUUUGUUAAUCACGAAGUUGUUUCUUUUCAUAACACCACAGGGAAAGAGGCCUUGCAAUGGAAAGCUAGA